rnacentral:rRNA from 1 species
GAUGAACGCUGGCGGCGUGCUUAACACAUGCAAGUCGAACGAAGCACUUUAUUUGAUUUCCUUCGGUACUGAUUAUUUUGUGACUGUGUGGCGGACGUGUCAGUAACGCGUGGUUAACCUGCCUUGUACAGGGGGAUAACAGUAGGAAACGGCUGCUAAUACCGCAUAAUCGCACGGCAUUGCUUGAUGCAGUGUGAAAAACUCCGGGGGUAUAAGAUGGACCCGCGUUGGAUUAGCUAGUUGGUGAAGUAACGGCCCACCAAGGCGAGGAUCCAUAGCCGACCUGGUAGGCUGAGCGGUCAGAUUGGGACUGAGACACAGACUAAAAUGUUACGGGAGGGAGCAGUAGGGAAUAUUGCACAAGGAACGACAGCGUGAUGCAGCGGCGCGGAGUAAGCCAGGAAGUUUUUUGGUAUGUAAUGCUAUAUUAGCAGAGACGAUAGUGACGGUACCUGUCUAAGAAGCACCGGCUAAAUACGUG